GACGAACGCUGGCGGCGUGCUUAAUACAUGCAAGUCGAACGGACAGGCCCUGCUUUUGUGGCGUGCUCGAGUGGCGAACGGGUGAGUAACACGUGAGUAACCUGCCCUUGAAUUUGGGAUAACUUCAGGAAACUGGGGCUAAUACCGGAUAGGAGCUCUUGCUGCAUGUUGGGGGAUGGAAAGUUUCGGCGGUUGUGGAUGGACUCGCGGCUUAUCAGCUUGUUGGUGGGGUAGUGGCUUACAAAGGCUUUGACGGGUAGCCGGCCUGAGAGGGGGACCGGCGACAUGAGGACUGAGGGACGGCGCAGACGGCUACGGGAGGCAGCAGGGGGGAAUAUUGCAGAAUGAGGGGAAGUCUGAUGCAGCGACGCCGCGUGCGGGAUGACGGCCUUCGGGUUGUAAACCGCUUUCGCCGGUGACGAAGCGUGAGUGACGGUAAUGGGUAAAGAAGCACCGGCUAACUACGUG
rnacentral:rRNA from 1 species